rnacentral:rRNA from 1 species
AGACCCGAAACCCGGUGAUCUAGCCAUGGGCAGGUUGAAGGUUGGGUAACACUAACUGGAGGACCGAACCGACUAAUGUUGAAAAAUUAGCGGAUGACCUGUGGCUGGGGGUGAAAGGCCAAUCAAACCGGGAGAUAGCUGGUUCUCCCCGAAAGCUAUUUAGGUAGCGCCUCGUGAAUUCAUCUCCGGGGGUAGAGCACUGUUUCGGCUAGGGGGUCAUCCCGACUUACCAACCCGAUGCAAACUGCGAAUACCGGAGAAUGUUAUCACGGGAGACACACGGCGGGUGCUAACGUCCGUCGUGAAGAGGGAAACAACCCAGACCGCCAGCUAAGGUCCCAAAGUCAUGGUUAAGUGGGAAACGAUGUGGGAAGGCCCAGACAGCCAGGAUGUUGGCUUAGAAGCAGCCAUCAUUUAAAGAAAGCGUAAUAGCUCACUGGUCGAGUCGGCCUGCGCGGAAGAUGUAACGGGGCUAAACCAUGCACCGAAGCUGCGGCAGCGACACUGUGUGUUGUUGGGUAGGGGAGCGUUCUGUAAGCCUGUGAAGGUGGCCUGUGAGGGUUGCUGGAGGUAUCAGAAGUGCGAAUGCUGACAUAAGUAACGAUAAAGCGGGUGAAAAGCCCGCUCGCCGGAAGACCAAGGGUUCCUGUCCAACGUUAAUCGGGGCAGGGUGAGUCGACCCCUAAGGCGAGGCCGAAAGGCGUAGUCGAUGGGAAACGGGUUAAUAUUCCCGUACUUGGUGUUACUGCGAAGGGGGGACGGAGAAGGCUAUGUUGGCCGGGCGACGGUUGUCCCGGUUUAAGCGUGUAGGUGUGUGUUCCAGGUAAAUCCGGUUCACUUUAACACUGAGGCGUGACGACGAGGCACUACGGUGCUGAAGCAACAAAUGCCCUGCUUCCAGGAAAAGCCUCUAAGCAUCAGGUAACAUCAAAUCGUACCCCAAACCGACACAGGUGGUCAGGUAGAGAAUACCAAGGCGCUUGAGAGAACUCGGGUGAAGGAACUAGGCAAAAUGGUGCCGUAACUUCGGGAGAAGGCACGCUGACACGUAGGUGAAGUGAUUUACUCACGGAGCUGAAGUCAGUCGAAGAUACCAGCUGGCUGCAACUGUUUAUUAAAAACACAGCACUGUGCAAACACGAAAGUGGACGUAUACGGUGUGACGCCUGCCCGGUGCCGGAAGGUUAAUUGAUGGGGUCAGCGCAAGCGAAGCUCCUGAUCGAAGCCCCGGUAAACGGCGGCCGUAACUAUAACGGUCCUAAGGUAGCGAAAUUCCUUGUCGGGUAAGUUCCGACCUGCACGAAUGGCGUAAUGAUGGCCAGGCUGUCUCCACCCGAGACUCAGUGAAAUUGAACUCGCUGUGAAGAUGCAGUGUACCCGCGGCAAGACGGAAAGACCCCGUGAACCUUUACUAUAGCUUGACACUGAACAUUGAGCCUUGAUGUGUAGGAUAGGUGGGAGGCUUUGAAGCGUGGACGCCAGUCUGCGUGGAGCCGACCUUGAAAUACCACCCUUUAAUGUUUGAUGUUCUAACGUGGACCCGUGAUCCGGGUUGCGGACAGUGUCUGGUGGGUAGUUUGACUGGGGCGGUCUCCUCCUAAAGAGUAACGGAGGAGCACGAAGGUUGGCUAAUCCUGGUCGGACAUCAGGAGGUUAGUGCAAUGGCAUAAGCCAGCUUGACUGCGAGCGUGACGGCGCGAGCAGGUGCGAAAGCAGGUCAUAGUGAUCCGGUGGUUCUGAAUGGAAGGGCCAUCGCUCAACGGAUAAAAGGUACUCCGGGGAUAACAGGCUGAUACCGCCCAAGAGUUCAUAUCGACGGCGGUGUUUGGCACCUCGAUGUCGGCUCAUCACAUCCUGGGGCUGAAGUAGGUCCCAAGGGUAUGGCUGUUCGCCAUUUAAAGUGGUACGCGAGCUGGGUUUAGAACGUCGUGAGACAGUUCGGUCCCUAUCUGCCGUGGGCGCUGGAGAACUGAGGGGGGCUGCUCCUAGUACGAGAGGACCGGAGUGGACGCAUCACUGGUGUUCGGGUUGUCAUGCCAAUGGCACUGCCCGGUAGCUAAAUGCGGAAGAGAUAAGUGCUGAAAGCAUCUAAGCACGAAACUUGCCCCGAGAUGAGUUCUCCCUGAGACUUAAAGUCUCCUGAAGGAACGUUGAAGACGACGACGUUGAUAGGCCGGGUGUGUAAGCGCAGCGAUGCGUUGAGCUAACCGGUACUAAUGAACCGUGAGGCUUAACCUUAC